UACGAAGGGGGCUAGCGUUGUUCGGAUUUACUGGGCGUAAAGGGCGCGUAGGCGGCAAUUCAAGUCAUCUGUGAAAUCUCCGGGCUAAACCCGGAACGGUCAGGUGAUACUGCUUUGCUAGAGUGCGGAAGGGGCAAUCGGAAUUCUUGGUGUAGCGGUGAAAUGCGUAGAUAUCAAGAGGAACACCUGAGGUGAAGACGGGUUGCUGGGCCGACACUGACGCUGAUAGCGCGAAAGCCAGGGGAGCAAACGGG
rnacentral:rRNA from 1 species